AUCUUGAUUUCCGGCCGACGAGGUGGCCCGAGCAGCCGAAUGAUGCAUCGAAGGAGUUCUUGAAGCUCCAGUAUCAUGAACUCCGGCCGGCGAGGUAGUCAUUGUACUGCCGGAGCAGCAGCACGAGGAAGCGCCUCAAUCACUCCGAUCUUGGCGACAACGUAAGCUCACGAUCCAGCAGCAGCUCACGUCCGUCUACC
rnacentral:lncRNA from 1 species